AGACGUAGUAUUCGUCGACAUCGAUUCUGGUCGAGUGUGUUUCACGUGGUACAGCGUUCCUAGAAUUUGCAUUCUCGUAAACAACUUGCGAGGAAAAACUGUGUAAGAACUUUCUUUGACGGUGACGUCAAAGAAAUUUAGUUCCUUUUUUUUUUAGACUGAACAAGAAGCGAUAGUGUUCCGCGUGUAAUACAGUGUAUUUAAAAUCUGCAUUCGUGUAAACAAAUUUUGAAGUCGAGUGAUUAAAUAAAAAAAUCGAUUUUAAUUUUCUUUCAUUCAGUAGAAAUUAAGAGUGUUACGCUGUAAGUUUGAGGAAGAAAGAGAAACGUGGAAGAUGUUAAACAGAGAUCGCCACAGGAGGACCCUGUGAGAGUGCGCAGGAUCGCGGAGGGGAAAGGAGGAUCGACGAAAGUUAGUCGGAGUAAGAGGGAAGUCAGGGUGGAAGGAGAGGGUGAUCGUUGGAUUGCGCACACGCGCGGGAUUUCCCGGGAAUCGGGUUUUUCCGGGUCUGCGACACGGUUUUCCCUCGUUCGGCUCACUCGAGCGUCCGACGCGCGACACGGCAACAGGUGACCACCGACAUCCUUCAGGAGCAGCAGAACGAUCCAGUGCCCGAAGGAUUCACGAGUAAGAGUGAAGACCGGCUUCGCGCGCCACCGAAUUCGAAGUCGUGUUCGUGGUUCGAGUGGAAGGCUGACGGAUUCGAGGAAGGAAAAUGAGCGUCGAGGACGCCAUCAACUAUAAACCCAGCGAGGAGGAGGAUUACUAUGCUCUUCUGUCGUGCGACGAGUCCGCGACGGUAGAACAAAUAACGGCAGAAUACAAGGUCCUAGCUCUUCAAUACCACCCCGACAAAAACGAAGGCGACAAGGACGCUGAAAGGAAAUUUCAGCAGCUGAAGCACGCGAAAGAGGUUCUCUGCGACCCUGAGCAAAGAAGCAACUACGAUAAAUGGAGGCGUAGCGGCAUCGCUAUCAGCUACAAGCAGUGGCUUGGAAUGAAGGAUCACGUGCACCAAUCGAUGCACUGGAGUAUACCGAAGACGAAGGAUCGCAUGCUGCAGGACACUUCCGGCGAGGCGGCAGGUUCACCGGGUCACGGAAAAAUGCAAGCACCGAACGCUCACAGAAGAGCUUCGGAAGGUGGCGCGAACAUCUAUUACGGUGCUCGCAGUGACCUUGGCUGGGACUCCGAGGCACCCAGCGAGAUCGUCAACAAGUUUCGUAAUUACGAAAUCUAAGAAGUGACCCGAGUGUCAUCAGGGUCUGCAUCGACUGGACCAAGUCGCUCGAUCUCUGUGUUUACCUUCAAGCAUAUCGAACGGGAAUACGAGAAACAGCCUGCAUUAAUGAUACACCGUCUCUAUGUGAACUGAUCGUUUUUGUCCAACCGAGAAUGUGGAUGAUAGCGGAUGAUAGCGUUUUGCUAUGAGAGUUUCGGAAAGACUGGUGAUUUCGAAGAUUCUCUUAUCCUUGUUUUGAUAGCUGUCUUUUUAUAACAGUCUUCAUAAACACUUAGAAGUUGAAGUAUAUGAAUCAAGGAGGAUGAUGAAGGUCGGUUUGGGUCCUCUUGUGAAGAAAAAUAUUUUUGCUGGACGUUUAAGAACAUCUUUUAAGAACAUCGUUUAAGAAAAUCAUAAAAUUGAAGUCAAACAUGAAGCAAUGAAUUCGAGCAACAAAAGAUGUUAGCAUCUAUAUGAAGUCUGUUAAAAAAAUCAUAAAAUUGAAGUCAAACAUGAAACAAUGACUUCGAGCAACAAAAGAUGUUAGCAUCUAUAUGAAGUCUGUUAAAAAAAUCAUAAAAUUGAAGUCAAAUAUGAAGGGAUGAAUUCGAGCAACAAAAGAUGUCAGCAUCUAUAUGAAGUCUGUUAAAAAAAUCAUAAAAUUGAAGUUAAACAUGAAGCAAUGAAUUCGAGCAACAAAAGAUGUUAGCAUCUAUAUGAGGUCUGUUAAAAAAAUUAUAAAAUUGAAGUCAGACAUGAAGCAUUGAAUUCAGACUAUAAUAUAUGUAUAUAUGGAGUAACCAUUUAUCUGGACCUCCAUAAUAAUUAUUCAGAGAGUCUGAUAAUAAACCAAUCAAAAUUUAAAACCGAGUUUGAAGUACUACUAACAUUUUGGUUAAGCUAGAAAUAUCCGUAAACUACUUUGAAGAAUUCCUUAGAGAUGUUCUCAAAUGUCUUUCAAGAAUUUUAAUUCGUAAACAGGAGGAGCUAUGACCACUUUUAACAUCCCCUUUUUAGAAACAAUCUAUAUAUAAUUUAACGUGUGAAUAAUUAAAAUCCGACCACUUAAAAGUACUCUCACUUGCAAACCUUGAUUAUGCCGAAAUCUUCAACUGUAGUGAAAUUUCCUAACCUCCUAAUUUGCUAACUUAUUCUUCAAAACGAGAAUUAUCGAAAUAACUGAUAUAAUAGAUGACGAAGGUAAAAGUUCGAAAGGAAGGUAGAAAGAAAAUGGUCGACGCGGAAAUGAAUAUUACAAAGAUGGAGGGAAGAAAUACGAGGAGUUACGAUGUUCCUGACGAUCCCGGUUUCGAUGGAAGGAGGUAACGGGAUAACUCGUUUAAAGUUCGAAACGAGAAACGAGGUCGGAAGGACGCUGUUCCCGUUUUCAAUUUUCCAUCAAUCGUCCUGGAGAAUGCAAUGGAAACAAGGUCGACGGUUCACGAGAAGAUUUGUCGGAAAUUUUUGAGGAACGCUUGCACGAUCGGUUGGACGGUGUUCCGAUAUCGUGACGAGAGAAGCCGAUUCCGCGAAGGGAUCCAAAUGUAAGGGAAUAACUAGUUGUUUCUACUAUACCGUUACUCGAAACAGAAUACUUAAGUGGUUCGGUGUAAGAAUGUUCUUCGUUAAAUGUCGACGUAUUUUUAGGAAUCGUAUACGUUUUAAGCGACUUUCGUACGCCGUUGAGAAUCAUUUUCGGGUCAGCUCUCGUUACAUGACCCAACACGAAAAUCAUAAAAUGGAACAAUAUUUUGCUUCGAGUGGUUGGUAAAAUUCUGUCAAUGAACGUUUAUAAACCUAAAAAUUUCUAAAUACGUAAAUUGUUAAAUUUGAAGCUAAAUAUUUCAAGAAUUUGAAAACUCUAAAAGUAAAGAAGAAACUCGCGAAAUAUGUCACAAAGAGAUUUGAUAUCAAAGAGAGAUUUUUAUCAAAGAAAACUAUUUCCAAAACAUCUCUUUCUGUUCUACAUUUUGUAAACACGAAACGAACACUACAUAAAAAGGAAAAUUUUUGCGAUCGAACAUAUACCACUUAAGUAAUUCUCGCAUUGUCGAGUAGCUAGAAAAAAAGUAACUCGUUGUUUCUACAUUGAGUACUUUUCAGUGGUACGUUUAAACGGUUUACGUGUCGCGUGGUUUUCAUUGUUAAAGAUAUCGAAGAGGAGACGCGUUUUCGAUGAAAAUAGUUACACGGGAUACCGGAGGAACAAGAUAAACCGUUUAAGCGCAGAUGUUCCACUGUUGAGCAAAUCGAUGACGGCGCACUUGUACCUGUGUCAAACGCGAAGUGUAUAUCGUUUUUUCUCAACGAUACUUGAAUGUUUGAAACCUCAAAACGUAGCCUCAUAGAUUUCGUAUUCAUCCUUUUUCUACAUUAUCCGUCCAUUUUGCUCGCUGACACUCAACUUCACUCGAUGAGCUUUUUUUGGUUCACAGAAUUUAGAAUACGUUUGCUAAUUGUAUUUUCAAAUUUUAGGGUCCCAAAUUUUCCGAUUACAAGUUUCUACAUUUCCCAAAUUUUCAAAUUGUU
rnacentral:misc_RNA from 1 species